UGUGGGAGCGAGCUUGCUCGCGAUGGCGGCGGAUCGGCCAGUAUUGAUCUUGACUGACACACCGCUAUCGCGAGCAAGCUCGCUCCCACA
rnacentral:misc_RNA from 1 species